GCCACAGCACCGCAUGGUGCGGGGGUAAAAACUCCGGUGGUGUGAGAUGGGCCCGCGUCUGAUUAGCUAGUUGGUGGGGUAACGGCCUACCAAGGCGACGAUCAGUAGCCGGACUGAGAGGUUGAACGGCCACAUUGGGACUGAGAUACGGCCCAGACUCCUACGGGAGGCAGCAGUCGGGAAUAUUGCGCAAUGGAGGAAACUCUGACGCAGUGACGCCGCGUAUAGGAAGAAGGUUUUCGGAUUGUAAACUAUUGUCGUUAGGGAAGAUACAAGACAGUACCUAAGGAGGAAGCCCCGGCUAACUAUGUGCCAGCAGCCGCGGUAAUACAUAGGGGGCAAGCGUUAUCCGGAUUUAUUGGGUGUAAAGGGUGCGUAGAUGGAGGAGCAAGCUGGUUGUGAAAUCCCUCGGCUCAACUGAGGAACUGCAACCAAAACUACUUCCCUUGAGUGUCGGAGAGGAAAGUGGAAUUCCUAGUGUAGCGGUGAAAUGCGUAGAUAUUAGGAGGAACACCAGUGGCGAAGGCGACUUUCUGGACGAUAACUGACAUUGAGGCACGAAAGUGUGGGGAGCAAACAGGAUUAGAUACCCUGGUAGUCCACACUGUAAACGAUGGAUACUAGGUGUAGGAUGUAUUAAGCAUUCUGUGCCGCC
rnacentral:rRNA from 1 species